AUACCUUUCUCGGCCUUUUGGCUAAGAUCAAGUCUAGUGUUUGUUCUUAUAAGUUUAAUGUUUGAUAUGUGAGCCAUCGACUCACACGAUAUCAAAUUAUUAUUUUUUUCAUGGGGGAGUUCCCAAUACAGGGUUCUCAUGCGACACCUUUGCGUUGCACUACUGCAAAGGCCUGGCACGCCCCCA